UGGUUGGACUGUAGGAUAUGGGCUAAAGGGUUUGAAGUUGAUAUGGUUAAACUAUGAGAGUAGAGAUUCAAGUUAGAUAUUUAUACUUAAUUUUAUAUUUAUUCUAGAGAUUUUAAGAAAUAAAUAGGCUCCUACUAUUUUUUUGGAUCUCUUACACUCUCCAAGUAGAAAAAUAAAAAUCUUAACAUGACAAGAAUUUCUAGUGGGUAGUAUGGUCCCAUCGAUGCACAUGCACCUCAUCUGAUAGAUAUUGAUGAUAUGCAUACUGAUGAGUGGACAACUCUUGUCUAAUGCUUCUCUAAGUAUGUUGCAGUGAUUCGAUCUCUAAGUCAUAUGGCUCACUUGAUAGAUAUUGGCCACACUCUUUAGUUAAGUCAGAUCAAUCAUUCAAAUGCAAGUAUGAAGUCAUCAUUAGGUCCCUCACCUGACAGAUAUUGGGCCCAACCCCAUCUUCACCAUGCAGCAAUCUUUUGCUAAUAGAGUGGUUGCAUAUUUCUGAUACAAUUGAACCACUGUGAUCAGCUAAAAAUAAUCAACAUCAGUAGCACGUCCGCACAUCUACAAUGGUGGAAGAUCGCUAGACUUAAUAUAUGAGAGGAGAUUUUAAUUUAGGUCUCAUCUAAUUAGUCACAACAAUAGCUCAUCUAAUUAGUAUGGGCUAAAUCAAACUAUCAAGCAACCUUAUUCAAGACAUAAUCUACCAAAUUAGCUAGGUAAGUGGAGAUCGGUGAGAGGCACCCAUUUGAAGAAUCAAGGGUCCUAUUUAAGUAACCACUUUUCAAGCACUUACCUUAGAUAUCAAUUGAUUAAUAUGAUUUUAAAU
rnacentral:lncRNA from 1 species